rnacentral:rRNA from 1 species
GACGAACGCUGGCGGCGUGCUUAAUACAUGCAAGUCGAACGGAAAGGCCCUGCUUUUGUGGGGUGCUCGAGUGGCGAACGGGUGAGUAUCACGCGUGUAACCUGCCCUUGACUUUGUGAUAACUUCAGGAAACUGGGGCUAUUACCGGAUAGGAGCUCCUGCAGCAUGGUGGGGGAUGGAAAGUUUCGGCGGUUGGGGAUGGACUCGCUGCUUAUCAGCUUGUUGGGGGGGUAGUGGCUUCCCAAGGGUUUGACGGGUAGGCGGCAUGGGAGGUUGACCGGCGACAAUGGUCCUGAGAGACGGAGCAGACGGCAACGUGCGGCAACAGUGGGAAGCCUGGCGCAACGGGCGGAAGUGUGAUAUGACGGCGCCGCGUGCGUGAUGCCGGCUUUCGGGGUGAAAACCGAUUUGGAAGGAAACGAGGAGGUCGUGACGGUAAUGGGUAAAGAAGCACCGGCUAACUACGUG